rnacentral:lncRNA from 1 species
CUAGAUCUCACCGACCUGUUGAGAGGAAAGGAGCCAACCUGGCCUGGUGACCUUCUCUGUGCAAGCAGGGAGCAGGCACACACCACCAAUGAGUGAAGAAGGCUGCUGUGGCAUGCUCGGGACCUAGAGGGAACCUGCCUCAUUGACAGGGGACAGCAGCUGCACAGCUCCAGACAAUCGUUGUCAAGGACGGGAAUGAGAUUCUAACAUGGCUGAUCUGAUUUUUCAAGAAAGGUGAAAGACCCAAAUUCAUGGAAGAGAAGUGAGUCACACAGGGAGCCAGUGGCAGAGCCACACCCCACAGAGCAAUCAACAUGCUCUACUCUGCAGACCUGCAACAGGGAGGGAAGCCAGACUCUGAUGCAAGAAGGAAAGACCAUGUGCUGGCUCAGUGUGUGCAGCCUGGACUGAGCUACUGAACUCUAAAUCCAAGGAUGACUAAUAGGCAGAAUGACAUUAAUACCAGACCUGAUGAAGACAGCACAAAAAGUAAAUCUCAACACAACCUCACAAUAUUAAUAAAGCAAAAAUUUUAAAUACA